GGGAGCUGCGCCCGGACCCAGAACAGAUCCGGGUCUGCAGCCUGCUCCGCGGCGGCGUUAGCUGGGUUGGGCUGGCUUUGAGGACGCGCGAAAGAGGACAGGCGAUGUGUGCGGGCAGAGACUGAGCGUCUGCGGACAGGGAAAACAGAGGAGGCAGCGGGAAUCGGAGGAGAAAGACAAGGAUUUGUUCAGAUUGAGAUGCGCUACGAGGGGCUGGGGCUUUAGCUCAUUGGCACAGCGCCUGCCUGGCAAGUGUAAGGUCGUGAGUUCGAUUCCCAGUACGGAAAAAAACAAAACAAAACAAAAAAAAAUAGCACGAGAUUCGCUACGAGCCGGGGCUCCAAACCCAGGGGCCUGGGAGGGUCCUCCUGUUCCUCUCCAUCCGAGGCUGCUUCUCUGGUCGGACUAAAGGCUGUAAGAUCACCGGUGACCUGGAUCGCAGCAGGAUCCUAAACAGCGCCGCCGCAGAGGCGCGGUGAGAGCGGGUGUAUUCCAGAUCAAGAGCUUUUUAAUUGUCUUGGCAACGUAUGCAUCAUGCACGCGAUGCCCUGGGCCGCAGCCUCGCGGCCUGACCACCCGUCCCCUGGUCCCGGAAGCCUGCCUCAGCAGGCACCAUCUGCACGGCAGUUAGGGAGAAGCCCGGCCCGCCCCAGGAAGCAGAGCUGUGUGAACUUCGGCCACACGGUUGCCUGCGGUUCUUCCUUCCUGCCUGUUUUGCGGUGUAUUGCUGUUCUUGACAACGGCUCCGCAAGUCACCGGCCGAAACUGGGUCCAGCCUAGGUUCGCCCCUCCCGCCAGCAUCAUCCUCCUAAGUUCUGCACACGGGGCAUGAUGCCCAGACAGUGCCCUGCCUCGCUCACCUGCACUACCUCGGGGGCCUGUGGGUGCUGAUAUCCUGCGACAUCCUGGUCUUUUGCUCCUAUGUGAUUACCCAGUGAACUUUCCGAGUGCAAACUUUUCAGCUUCUUCCAUUACUAAAACCCGUUUAAAGAGGGCCCCAUACCUACUACAUGGUCAAGUCCCCAAAGUGCAGCAGCCUGCUCUGAGAACAACUUUGAGAAAGAGCGCUUGGGAGGGCUCUUUCUACAUCCUCCAGGCACCGGGGCUUGGAGGAUGCUCAGCCGUGCGCUGUAUCUGCCAGUGGUACCGCUCCGUGAUCGUACAGACUGGGUGAAAGGUGAGUGGGUCACACCUAUGCUCUUCCGAAUGCUUCUGCCGCCACCCUGCACCUUCCACCUCCCUCCCGAUGGACUGCUCUCUGAAAAGCCUUUCCUGGCCUGCUCUAACUGAACGGUCUUUUUUGGCCCUCCACACCCAGCUCAGUAUUCUGAUUAUUGCACUGUACUGUAAAUGUCUUUCCCUGUACAGAUAUACAUCCUUGAGCUUAAUGUGACAUCCGGGAUGUUGAAGUGUUAUGGAUUAAACCGUAUUCCAUCCACAGCUUAUAUAUUGAAGCCCUGGCCCUCAGUGUGCUUGUGUUUGGAGAUAGGGCCUACAUAGGAAAAUGAUUAAGGUGAAAUGAACUCAGAAGGUUGGGCUUUAAUCCAGUAGAAUUGGUGACAUCAUAAACACUUGAUCUCCCUUCCUUCCGCCUUUGCGCCUCUCUCUUUCUCUCGCUGUCUCUACACACACACACACACACACACACACACACACACACACACCAGGAGCCGCGUGAAGACACAGCAAAAAGACAACCAUGUAUAACCCAGAAAGACAGGCCUUGUCAGAAACCAUCCUUGCUUGCAUCUUGACCUUGAAUGUCCAACCUCCAGAACUGUUAUGAAGCAAAGAUUCAAAAGAAAAAGUUUAAAAAGAAAAAGUUAAGUUUCCCCAAACUGCCCCUUCCCUACUGUUGUUGUUCUUCCUUCUAAUACAGAUGAAAGUGACUUUUUAAAAAAGUGACUCGGCCCCUGUCAAUAAAGUUCUGUAACCACCUGC